rnacentral:rRNA from 1 species
AGGUUAAGCUACUAAGAGCACACGGAGGAUGCCUAGGCGCUAGGAGCCGAUGAAGGACGUGGCGAACAACGAAACUGCCUCGGGGAGCUGUAAGCAAGCUUUGAUCCGGGGGUGUCCGAAUGGGGAAACCCAGCUGGGGUAAUUUCCAGUUAC